rnacentral:lncRNA from 1 species
UAGAAGGGCCCCAGGCAAGGUCAGGUGAUGAAGAAUUUCCUGAAAAUGUGCUUAUUUAAAUGUUAUUGUGCUGAAGCAGGAUCGGGAACACAACCCCUUGGCACCCCAGGGUGUCUGAGUCUCUUCACGGGAAGGACAGAGCUUGUGAAAUACAGCUGGCGCUUCUCGGGGUCUGGCCGGCCAGUCCGGUGAAUGAGCUGGAGUUGCAGCAGAGAUUCCAGGACAACAGGCAAACUCCAGAGGAGCUUCUCCUCUGAUGGGGUCUCAGUGUCAGGGCAAGACAGAGACCCUGCCUGGGAAGGAAGACCUCGGGGCCGAUGGAGGAGGCAGAGAUUUCCGGAAGGGAACAUGCAGUAAGAACCACAACAGGAGCUUGUGCCAAUUGCUAAGUGAGUGCUGAGCCAGAGAUUAGCUACCAUUGAGAAACCGGGGAAGGCUUCAGGGAAGAGGAGCCAAGUGGCCUGGACAGAUGCCAUUCAGAGAGACAUGUUCAUCUGGGCUGAGGCCAGGGCAAAGAGUUCCUAUCUGAGAUUAUGGGAGGAGGCAGGAACACUAGGAAGCUGGGAGUCAGAGGGGUGGACAAACAGAAGCCCACAGGGCCACAGCUCUGCAGGAGCACAAGCAGACUCCUAGCCUGGAGGAGCCAGGGCCAGAGACUGGAGACAGUGUCCCUGAGCCUAGAGCCCAGACCAGGUACAGCCUGGCAAGGUCCAUCCCUAAUGAAGGAACAGGCCUGUGCCUCCACCUGGACCAAGCUCCAAGCCCUCCCUGGAACUCAAAUCUGGAACAGAAUGAAAUGAAAAGGACGGCCGGGUAGGAUUCCCACCUCUCCAGCAUUCUGUCUGAGUAAACCAUUCCAGCAUUAGACCAUUCUUCUCUAUCCUGCUUCUUGUGCCUGGAAGUGGCCCAGAUUCCCACCUUUUUCCAAGCCUGGCUCUUCAGACUUCUACCAAUUCUGUAAAAAUCUGAUAUCCUUCAAAUAAGUUCUUUUUGGCCAGAAAAAACUAGACUGCUUGCAACCAAGAAACCCUGACUAAUAGACCAGCCUUGGGGACACACUUCCACGCUCUGUGUGUUGGCUUUUUUCUUUUUCCCUCUUGACUUCCUCCCCAUUGAGACCUGGCCUUGGCAGCCCCAAGACCAGAGAGAAGAAACCCAGGAUUGGGCUCUCAUUGUGCCCAUUGCUCAACAGUCACUGAGGCCUGGCAGGUGAAGUCAUGUGAAAGGACAGCAGCCCCCAUUCCUUAAUUUGACAGAGUGGAGGAAGGAGCCAGUCAUCUUGCUAAGGUGCAGGUGGAUUCUGUGGGUCUGGGGCUGGGCCUGGGUUCUGCAUCUCUUACCUGCUCCUGGUUGAGGUCCACACUGCCAGUGCCUGGUUCUUGCAUGACUUCCGUAGCACAGCUCUACAGGGAUAAACAGGGAGAUUUAAUGGGUUGAAGAGGAGGUAUUUAGGCAAUUUAGAUCUCUGGUAGUCAAAACAGCUGUUUCAUAGAGUUACUGGGUUGAAAGCCAAGUUACUGUGAGCUGAAGGAGGGGGCAGGAGCUCCGGGGCCGGAGAGCAGAUGACAGAGGGUGUGGAACUCCUGAGCACGUGAUGAUACCUGCCCACCUUGGCAUGUCAGCAGGCUGUGCUUCUUGGAGGAGCGCUCUGGAUAAGUCCAUAUCAACGUUCGUUAGAGAAGGACAGGAGUGAGAAGCCUCUGGCUUCUCAGGCCUUGCGACUGCUCUCCUCUGCUCACUGGGGGUUCCUGGCCUCUUAGAGGCUCCCCACAUGUUUCUCUCCUCUCUUCUUCCAUCCUA